CGGAGCAUGGUGUCAACGGCUAGCACGCAUGUUUUGGGAACAUGUAGACAGGGUUCGAAUCCCUGUGCUCCGA
rnacentral:tRNA from 1 species